rnacentral:rRNA from 1 species
GAUUAAGUUAUUAAGGGCGCACGGUGGAUGCCUUGGCACUAGAAGCCGAUGAAGGACGUUACUAACGACGAUAUGCUUUGGGGAGCUGUAAGUAAGCUUUGAUCCAGAGAUUUCCGAAUGGGGAAACCCAGCAUGAGUUAUGUCAUGUUAUCGAUAUGUGAAUACAUAGCAUAUCAGAAGGCACACCCGGAGAACUGAAACAUCUUAGUACCCGGAGGAAGAGAAAGAAAAUUCGAUUCCCUUAGUAGCGGCGAGCGAAACGGGAAGAGCCCAAACCAACAAGCUUGCUUGUUGGGGUUGUAGGACACUCUAUACGGAGUUACAAAGGACGACAUUAGACGAAUCAUCUGGAAAGAUGAAUCAAAGAAGGUAAUAAUCCUGUAGUCGAAAAUGUUGUCUCUCUUGAGUGGAUCCUGAGUACGACGGAGCACGUGAAAUUCCGUCGGAAUCUGGGAGGACCAUCUCCUAAGGCUAAAUACUCUCUAGUGACCGAUAGUGAACCAGUACCGUGAGGGAAAGGUGAAAAGCACCCCGGAAGGGGAGUGAAAUAGAACCUGAAACCGUGUGCUUACAAGUAGUCAGAGCCCGUUAAUGGGUGAUGGCGUGCCUUUUGUAGAAUGAACCGGCGAGUUACGAUUUGAUGCAAGGUUAAGCAGUAAAUGUGGAGCCGUAGCGAAAGCGAGUCUGAAUAGGGCGUUUAGUAUUUGGUCGUAGACCCGAAACCAGGUGAUCUACCCUUGGUCAGGUUGAAGUUCAGGUAACACUGAAUGGAGGACCGAACCGACUUACGUUGAAAAGUGAGCGGAUGAACUGAGGGUAGCGGAGAAAUUCCAAUCGAACCUGGAGAUAGCUGGUUCUCUCCGAAAUAGCUUUAGGGCUAGCCUCAAGUGAUGAUUAUUGGAGGUAGAGCACUGUUUGGACGAGGGGCCCCUCUCGGGUUACCGAAUUCAGACAAACUCCGAAUGCCAAUUAAUUUAACUUGGGAGUCAGAACAUGGGUGAUAAGGUCCGUGUUCGAAAGGGAAACAGCCCAGACCACCAGCUAAGGUCCCAAAAUAUAUGUUAAGUGGAAAAGGAUGUGGCGUUGCCCAGACAACUAGGAUGUUGGCUUAGAAGCAGCCAUCAUUUAAAGAGUGCGUAAUAGCUCACUAGUCGAGUGACACUGCGCCGAAAAUGUACCGGGGCUAAACAUAUUACCGAAGCUGUGGAUUGUCCUUUGGACAAUGGUAGGAGAGCGUUCUAAGGGCGUUGAAGCAUGAUCGUAAGGACAUGUGGAGCGCUUAGAAGUGAGAAUGCCGGUGUGAGUAGCGAAAGACGGGUGAGAAUCCCGUCCACCGAUUGACUAAGGUUUCCAGAGGAAGGCUCGUCCGCUCUGGGUUAGUCGGGUCCUAAGCUGAGGCCGACAGGCGUAGGCGAUGGAUAACAGGUUGAUAUUCCUGUACCACCUAUAAUCGUUUUAAUCGAUGGGGGGACGCAGUAGGAUAGGCGAAGCGUGCGAUUGGAUUGCACGUCUAAGCAGUAAGGCUGAGUAUUAGGCAAAUCCGGUACUCGUUNNNNNNNNNNNNNNNNNNNNNNNNNNNNNNNNNNNNNNNNNNNNNNNNNNNNNNNNNNNNNNNNNNNNNNNNNNNNNNNNNNNNNNNNNNNNNNNCGUUAAGGCUGAGCUGUGAUGGGGAGAAGACAUUGUGUCUUCGAGUCGUUGAUUUCACACUGCCGAGAAAAGCCUCUAGAUAGAAAAUAGGUGCCCGUACCGCAAACCGACACAGGUAGUCAAGAUGAGAAUUCUAAGGUGAGCGAGCGAACUCUCGUUAAGGAACUCGGCAAAAUGACCCCGUAACUUCGGGAGAAGGGGUGCUCUUUAGGGUUAACGCCCAGAAGAGCCGCAGUGAAUAGGCCCAAGCGACUGUUUAUCAAAAACACAGGUCUCUGCUAAACCGUAAGGUGAUGUAUAGGGGCUGACGCCUGCCCGGUGCUGGAAGGUUAAGAGGAGUGGUUAGCUUCUGCGAAGCUACGAAUCGAAGCCCCAGUAAACGGCGGCCGUAACUAUAACGGUCCUAAGGUAGCGAAAUUCCUUGUCGGGUAAGUUCCGACCCGCACGAAAGGCGUAACGAUUUGGGCACUGUCUCAACGAGAGACUCGGUGAAAUCAUAGUACCUGUGAAGAUGCAGGUUACCCGCGACAGGACGGAAAGACCCCGUGGAGCUUUACUGUAGCCUGAUAUUGAAAUUCGGCACAGCUUGUACAGGAUAGGUAGGAGCCUUUGAAACGUGAGCGCUAGCUUACGUGGAGGCGCUGGUGGGAUACUACCCUAGCUGUGUUGGCUUUCUAACCCGCACCACUUAUCGUGGUGGGAGACAGUGUCAGGCGGGCAGUUUGACUGGGGCGGUCGCCUCCUAAAAGGUAACGGAGGCGCUCAAAGGUUCCCUCAGAAUGGUUGGAAAUCAUUCAUAGAGUGUAAAGGCAUAAGGGAGCUUGACUGCGAGACCUACAAGUCGAGCAGGGUCGAAAGACGGACUUAGUGAUCCGGUGGUUCCGCAUGGAAGGGCCAUCGCUCAACGGAUAAAAGCUACCCCGGGGAUAACAGGCUUAUCUCCCCCAAGAGUUCACAUCGACGGGGAGGUUUGGCACCUCGAUGUCGGCUCAUCGCAUCCUGGGGCUGUAGUCGGUCCCAAGGGUUGGGCUGUUCGCCCAUUAAAGCGGUACGCGAGCUGGGUUCAGAACGUCGUGAGACAGUUCGGUCCCUAUCCGUCGUGGGCGUAGGAAAUUUGAGAGGAGCUGUCCUUAGUACGAGAGGACCGGGAUGGACAUACCUCUGGUGUACCAGUUGUCGUGCCAACGGCAUAGCUGGGUAGCUAUGUGUGGACGGGAUAAGUGCUGAAAGCAUCUAAGCAUGAAGCCCCCCUCAAGAUGAGAUUUCCCAACUUCGGUUAUAAGAUCCCUCAAAGAUGAUGAGGUUAAUAGGUUCGAGGUGGAAGCAUGGUGACAUGUGGAGCUGACGAAUACUAAUCGAUCGAAGACUUAAUCAA